GGAGAGAAGAGAGGAGAGUUCCCAGAUCUCCAGUUUCUAGUGAAGUUGGAGACCCAAGACUCUUGGAAGGGGUGGAGAAAGUGAGGAAGAGCCGACAAAGCAAGAAGAGGAACCCCAACCAAGAAAAAGUGCAGAACCAACUUUUGAUGAGCUGGCCAUGUUACACAGGAGAACACAGGCUUCCCAUGCUUGCAGUACAUUCUGUUGACCAGGAUCAAGUUACUACAUCUGGAGGGGAGGAGAACUAGACUCCACCUUCUGACGGGAGUGUCAGGCCAUUGCCGGACAUCCAGAUUCUGGAAGAUGAUUGAUUCCUAGCAGCUCACUCUGAGGCAAGCUCAAAAGGACAGCCAAGAGUUUAGGUGAUAUGGACUGCAGAUGUGCCCCAAGUAGAUGCUGUGAAGUUCACUGAUCCAUUGAGGAAAAUGUUGUGCUGUGUCUGCCAAGAGUAAUAACAAGGCGCUUGGGCUGGCAUUACAGCUUACUGCUGUGGAACUCUGUAAUAUGCAUGGGUGUGAAGGUGGCACCAUUGACAGC